GGUCAAGCGAAUAAGCGCACACGGUGGAUGCCUUGGCGGUCAGAGGCGAUGAAGGACGUGGCAGCCUGCGAAAAGUAUCGGGGAGCUGGCAACAAGCUUUGAU
rnacentral:rRNA from 1 species